rnacentral:lncRNA from 1 species
CAAACAAAACAAAGCUUGACUUUCUACUCAUUCAUCCAAUAAUUCAACAUUCCUAAAGUACAUGACAAGAACUACUCAACUUCAGAUUUCUAGUGGAAUCAAAUCAAUAUGCAUACAUGCUUUCAAUUCACUUCAGUUCACAAGUUAUUCAACAAAUGUUACACAUUAUGAAUGAUCAAUCCACUAAGCUAAGAUGCAAUCAUGAAAUUUAGCAAUUCUCACCAGGCAAGUGUUUCACUCAAUCACUCAAGUGUUUGAGGUAGCACUCCAAGUCUCUAUCAUUCACAAGUCACAUGAAACAAAAUUGCCAUUCAUCUAAAACAACCAAAAUUCUUACAUGCAAAUGCCGUCAAAAGGACUUUUCCAAGGCUUGUAAUGAGGCUGGGCUAACAAGAAAUUUGGUUUUUCUGGAAUGCAAAGUCCUUGAGUUAAAAGAGCUAUCAGAAUAUUCAACAUUCAAGAACAACUCUCUUCCUCACCAAUCUCACUUAUUCCCAACUUUUUCCCUUUUCUUUUGCAUUGAGCUCAUCUUCAUGCUUUUUCUUCUUUUCUUUUCUUUUUCUCAUGUAUUUUUCUUUAACAACUUUUGAGCUCAAUUCUUUUUCAAUUGCCUUUCAAUUUCUCCCAUGCAACCCCAAACUUGAACCUUUUCAUCACAUAC